rnacentral:rRNA from 1 species
UACGGAGGGUGCAAGCGUUAUCCGGAUUCACUGGGUUUAAAGGGUGCGUAGGUGGGCAGGUAAGUCAGUGGUGAAAUCUCCGGGCUUAACCCGGAAACUGCCAUUGAUACUAUUUGUCUUGAAUACUCUGGAGGUGAGCGGAAUAUGUCAUGUAGCGGUGAAAUGCUUAGAUAUGACAUAGAACACCCAUUGCGAAGGCAGCUCACUACGGAAAUAUUGACGCUGAGGCACGAAAGCGUGGGGAUCAAAC